UACGUAGGUGACCAGCGUUGUCCGGAUUUACUGGGCGUAAAGAGCGCGCAGGCGGUCGUUCAAGUCGAGUGUGAAAGCCCCCGGCUCAACUGGGGAGGGUCAUUCGAUACUGAUCGACUCGAAGGCAGGAGAGGGAAGCGGAAUUCCCGGUGUAGUGGUGAAAUGCGUAGAUAUCGGGAGGAACACCAGUGGCGAAGGCGGCUCACUGGCCCGGUACUGACGCUGAGGCGCGAAAGCGUGGGGAGCAAACAGG
rnacentral:rRNA from 1 species